AUGAACGCUGGCGGCGUGCCUAAUACAUGCAAGUCGAGCGAACAGACGAGGAGCUUGCUCCUCUGACGUUAGCGGCGGACGGGUGAGUAACACGUGGAUAACCUACCUAUAAGACUGGGAUAACUUCGGGAAACCGGAGCUAAUACCGGAUAAUAUAUUGAACCGCAUGGUUCAAUAGUGAAAGACGGUUUUGCUGUCACUUAUAGAUGGAUCCGCGCCGCAUUAGCUAGUUGGUAAGGUAACGGCUUACCAAGGCAACGAUGCGUAGCCGACCUGAGAGGGUGAUCGGCCACACUGGAACUGAGACACGGUCCAGACUCCUACGGGAGGCAGCAGUAGGGAAUCUUCCGCAAUGGGCGAAAGCCUGACGGAGCAACGCCGCGUGAGUGAUGAAGGUCUUCGGAUCGUAAAACUCUGUAAUUAGGGAAGAACAAAUGUGUAAGUAACUAUGCACGUCUUGACGGUACCUAAUCAGAAAGCCACGGCUAACUACGUG
rnacentral:rRNA from 1 species